UAGCCGUAAACGAUACUCGCUAGGUGUCGGCCACGGUGCGACCGUUGUCGGUGCCGUAGGGAAGCCGUGAAGCGAGCCACCUGGGAAGUACGGCCGCAAGGCUGAAACUUAAAGGAAUUGGCGGGGGAGCACCAUAACGGGUGGAGCUUGCGGUUUAAUUGGAUUCAACGCCGGAAAUCUUACCGGGACCGACAGCAACAUGAAGGCCAGGCUGAAGACUUUGCCGGAUUAGCUGAGAGGAGGUGCAUGGCGUAGUCGUGU
rnacentral:rRNA from 1 species